GCGUGGACCUGUCAUCAGAUGUAAUUUCAGUGGAAAAUUGCAUUCUGUCAAAGUAAUGCUUGAAUGCAGAAGAAAUAGCUCACUGUGGUCCCUUCCAGGAAGAUCUGCUCACUCGAAGUAAAGGGCCUCCAAGUGACUUCAAUCAAAAUACUGAUGGACAGAGAGCAGAGGCACUUUUCGCUUGGCCUCAAAGAUGUAGGAGAGAAGCCUCUGAAACGAAGUCUGUGGUGUUUACAGGACUGAGUGUGACAAGGACAGGGCAGGUGGGGCCUGGGCAACUUUGAACCACCAUGCCAAAGUGGUCUAUGCCAGAGGCUGUCAGAGAAAAAGCAUUGCAACUGAAAUCACCUUCAUUCUCCUCCCUGCUUACUGCUUCACAGCUACACAACGAUUCUUUUUUGACUUUCCAUUUCUUUUGCAAAGAGAAACCAUGAGACAAAGAGUUCACAGUUUUAAAGUACUGCAUAAUGAAUGAUAACAAUUCAGCGUGUUUCUUUAUCAGUCAUCAAGGUGGUGGGCCCUGACCUAUCCACCUCAAGAUAAACGGAAGUAUGCAAAAACGCC
rnacentral:lncRNA from 1 species